UACGUAGGUCCCGAGCGUUGUCCGGAUUUAUUGGGCGUAAAGCGAGCGCAGGUGGUUUAUUAAGUCUGGUGUAAAAGGCAGUGGCUCAACCAUUGUAUGCAUUGGAAACUGGUAGACUUGAGCGCAGGAGAGGAGAGUGGAAUUCCAUGUGUAGCGGUGAAAUGCGUAGAUAUAUGGAGGAACACCGGUGGCGAAAGCGGCUCUCUGGCCUGUAACUGGCACUGAGGCUCGAAAGCGUGGGGAGCAAACAGG
rnacentral:rRNA from 1 species